CCUACGGGGGGCAGCAGUGGGGAAUAUUGGACAAUGGGCGAAAGCCUGAUCCAGCCAUGCCGCGUGUGUGAAGAAGGCCUUCGGGUUGUAAAGCACUUUCAGUGGGGAAGAAAGCCUUGGGGCUAAUACCCUCGAGGAAGGACAUCACCCACAGAAGAAGCACCGGCUAACUCCGUGCCAGCAGCCGCGGUAAUACGGAGGGUGCGAGCGUUAAUCGGAAUUACUGGGCGUAAAGCGCGCGUAGGCGGUCUGAUAAGCCGGUUGUGAAAGCCCCGGGCUCAACCUGGGAACGGCAUCCGGAACUGUCAGGCUAGAGUGCAGGAGAGGAAGGUAGAAUUCCCGGUGUAGCAGUGAAAUGCGUAGAGAUCGGGAGGAAUACCAGUGGCGAAGGCGGCCUUCUGGACUGACACUGACGCUGAGGUGCGAAAGCGUGGGUAGCGAACAGGAUUAGAUACCCGUGUAGUC
rnacentral:rRNA from 1 species